GCGGGGGAGAGGUGGCAUUUGAUCGGGGACUGUCCAGAGUGGGGGCCGCCAGGACAAUGCCUACUUGGGACCCGCCCACCUCCAUCUCCUCUACAGAUGGAACACACACAUCUGCUCCAUGGUCAUCAGACCGUACUCUUUUAGGACCUUACACACACUAUGACCUCACACUUGCCGUGUCUCCUCACGUCCUCCCCACCUCCGCCUGUGUACCACACAUCUCUGCACCCAGGACACUUCCUGGAGUGUAAGAGGUUGCGGUCUUGCUGGAAUCUGGUCUUGCUGGAAUCUGGCCGGGCAGGAGGAACCCAGCUGCCUCAGGUAGGAGGAAAACAUUUCCAUCUGUGAGACAUUCUUCUUGGAAAUGAAGCCCUGGGGGCUUCCCAGGGAAUGUGGCAUGCUGGUGUGAACAUGAGUGGGCAUGCUGGGACUCAGCUUUGUUUAAAAUGUUCAGCAUGCCUUCUUCAGAUGAGAUCUAUGCUUUGCCAUUCUGGGGUUAGGGCAGACAUCAAAUACACCUCCCCAAAUUGGGGCACCAGCUGGCCAGACUGGACCCAGGUGAAUCAUUUGCAGAGGAGGUGGUACGGAAAGAGUGGACUUGAGAAAUAAUGUCCUGGGGAAAUUGCUUUGAAAGGAAUGUCAAACUGCUUAAAUGAGGUUUUUUUUUUUUAGUGCAAUUAAUCAACCCCUAAUUGAUCCUGUGAGGACACACAAUUUUCUUCAGUAUAGAACCUUUCUUUUUCCCCCUUUCUUUGGCCAUGCAGCUUGUGGGAUCUUAGUUCCCUGACCAGGGAUUGAACCCGCACUCUGGGCAGUGAAAGCACAGAGUCCUAACCACCGGACCACUAGAGGAUUCCCAGAACCUCUUACAGUGGGCUUCCUGAUCUGGCAGUCCACAUACCCCACGCCAGAGUACCUAACAGGAAGGAAGAAACAGACAAAACCCACAGCUCAGCCUAACAAGCCUGCCCCUGGCUCUGACGUUCUUGUUGGGAGUGUCCCCCCUCCCCCGACCUGCACUGAUGCCCCUGCUUUUAUUGACACCUUAGCAGGGGUUCAGCCUGGCUGCAAGCCCAGGCUCCCAGACCUAUUAAAUCAGAACCUCUGGAGUGGAUUCGAACCUCUGCACUUAUGUAAAAUCUCUAGGUGAUUCUCUGCAGCCAGGCUUAAGCAAAAACCUGCUCUUUUAGCAAUCAUCCUCAUAGCGUUAAAAUGCAGUCAUUUUAACCUUACUAAUAGGGAGAGAGUAAUGGGACAAAGUAGGUGUUUAAACAGUUAAUCCCACUAGGAGACUGUAAGUAAAGAAAAAAGUAUGAGAGAAGCUGUCAGUUAAUGAUCACUUAAGAAAGCAGGUUUGCUUAACCACCAACCAAGCAGGCUUGCUUAGCAACAAAACCACACAGCAGGAGCAUGAGACAUGCCCCCAAACAAUAAAACAGUGAUGGGCUCAGAAGCCACAUUCUGCCCAGUGAACUCAGUAAGGUAAUGAUCCCUAGGACAUGCCUCUCGGUGCCCCUGCAAAACAAAAAUGUGAGGAAAAGGGGACGUCCUGAAACCUGAGAUGAUUCACCAAGUUUCAGUAUAUGCUGCCACCUUUUUGCUCUUUGCCCUUGCACCCUGACAGUCUUGGCUUGGCCACGUAGGGACAGGAAAGCUCCUCCACCCAAUGUGGAGGAGGGGUUGUUGAUGGAAACUUGAGGUCUACUCAAGAAUGAGGAAGAGGGCUUCCCCGGUGGCUCGGUGAUAAAGAAUCUGCCGGCCAACGCAGGAGACUCGGGUUUGAACCCUGGUCUGGGAAUAUUCCACAUGCCUUAGAACAACUAAGUCCAUGCACCAUAACGACUGAGGCCAAGCUCUAGAGCCUGGAAGCCACAACUCCUGAAGCCUGUGUGCCUAGAGCCUGUGCUCCGCAACAAGAGAAGCCACGCGAUGAGAAACCCGAGAACCACAACGACGAGCGGUGAGCCUACCAGCUGCAACUACUGAAGCCGAACGUUCUAGAGCCUGGGUCCAAAACUGAGAAAAGCCUGUGCGGUAAUAAAGACCAAGAACGGCCAAAUAAAUAAAAUUUAAAAUAAAAGAAUGAGGACAGAAGACCCUACACUCUACUGAGUACUGAGAUGUGUUCUGCCGGUCUCAUUAUUAGUGGAGCGAUUCCUGGGACGCUGCAUUUCUAACCUGUUUCCGGCUGGUACUGAUGCUGCUGGACCCUGGACCACACCUGAAGUGACAGAUCCUUUACCGUCUGAGCUGCCGGGGAUAGCCAGGACAAGACUGAACAAACUUCAAGCUCGAGUGUGGCAUCCAGACCAGAUUGAGAUGGGAGUGGAUUGAGAGGCUGUCGCACGGAGGCCAGGGCAGACAUGCUGAUUGAGAGCAGGAAGUGGGGAGAGCUUGGAUGGAUAAACAAAACAGAAUAAAAUGAGAAGGAAAAAAACCCAAACGGACCGAUGAUCUGGGCUCUCAAAUGUGGGAGCAAAUGGUCUGGCAGACCCGGCAGCCCUGGGGCUGGCAGCCCACCCUGUUCCUUCCUCCCACCUCAUCACAGCGCACAAGUCAGGCAGCCCCUGUCGUGAAAACCCUAAGGCAUGGGGAAACUUUUGUCCCUGUUUAAGAAGGUCAGAAGUGCGUAAAGCAGUUUUUCAAAUUUUCCCAAGCGAAAAACUUUGCAUGCAAAAGCCACUGAACUG